UUUCGCUGGUGUGCGCGGCGUCUUGGACAGUCUUGGAGCUUGUCGUUUCACAGUGCGUGAAUCAGCAUUGUUCGAUUCUUGGGUUCCGUCAUAUCUGACGAGUCGCGUACGAUCCAAUUGUGUUGUGAGCUCCACGCGGAUUCUUUCCGUGAAAUAUCGUUCGUACGCAGAUACGAUAUCGUGAAGAGCAUUCGACGCAGGUUCUUGUACGAGCCGCAAAAUGCCGGGUUUUAGCAGCGUUGGCACGUUUAAAAUCUUCAUUGGUAAUUUAGCCGAUAAGACCUCGAACGCGGACAUAAAGCCACUGUUCGAGAAGUAUGGAAAAGUCGUGGAAUGCGACGUGGUAAAGAAUUAUGGCUUCGUGCAUAUGGAAAACGAAGAAGCGGGUCGAAAUGCGAUACAAAAUUUGAAUGGACACAUGGUUCAUGGUCAGCCGAUAAAAUGUGAAGCUGCAAAGAGUCGCAAGGGACCCAACACUCCCACGACGAAGAUUUUCGUGGGCAAUCUUACAGAUAACACUAAGGCGCCGCAGGUUCGCGAACUGUUCGCCAAGUAUGGCACCGUCGUUGAAUGCGAUAUCGUGAGAAACUAUGGUUUCGUACAUCUGGAGGCAACUGGCGACGUGAACGAUGCUAUCAAGGAGCUGAAUGGACAGAUCGUCGAUGGACAACCGAUGAAGGUCCAGAUAUCUACUAGUCGAGUACGACAGAGGCCAGGCAUGGGGGAUCCGGAACAAUGCUACCGAUGCGGACGAGGCGGUCACUGGUCGAAGGAAUGUCCCAAGGGCGGGAUGGGAGGUGGACCAGAUAGAAACGGAUACAGGGACCGAAUGUUUGGACGCGAUCCAUAUCCUCCACCGCCGCCACCACCGUUCCUACGGGACCGGCUCAUGGGUGGUGGCCGCUUUGGGGAUUAUGAAAGCUACUACGACAGGCGCGGCUUCGAGGACACCAGGGAUCUCUACGAGAGGCGGUUUACGGGUAUGACAGGGCCCAGUGACAUGGGUUCUACCAUGUGCGGGCUAGACUUUCCACCAAUGACAAUGCCACCUCUACCACCAAGACGAGACCCAAUGCCUCCUAUGCCUCCUCUAGGUAUGGGAUCCAUGCGUGACACUGGCUUCUCCCGUGGAAACGAGUACGGAAUGUUCAGCCGCCGAUCACCCCCUCCAAGUGGCAACAACGGCCGGUUCAGUGCACCUCAGGCGUACCAUCUUUGUCCAUGAACGCGGGCAACCCUAGAGAGACAGUCCCGGGUCAGCGUUCAAGUCGUACAAGAGACGUGAUAGCCCUCUACGCCAACAUCGUCCAUGAAGGAUGUACCCUUGAAGGAGCGAGCGUGCCAGGCUCGAGAGACGAGAGGGUUUCAAGUAGAAGCGACGCGAGAGGUCUGGUGGAGGAGCGACAUGGUGUAGCGAGAGGUAAUUGUUCAUCACAGCACUCGUAUACUACGUCGAGAGAGAGAGCGGGGGAGAGUGCGAAGGAGAGAUGUAUACUUUAAUAGAGACACGGGAUUGUGCUACCGCAUUCAAGACGCGGAUCCAGCCUCUCAAUAUUGUUCCGACACGCGAAAGAAAAUGAAUAAAAGUAAUGUAAAGAAAAGAGAAAACGACACGUUAAUUCAUCCCGCGAGUUCCACCCGAACGCCUUUGAG